rnacentral:lncRNA from 1 species
CACUGUUCCUCGUAUGAAGGGUGCUCUCAGGGUUGGAUGAGUGAAAGCUCAUGUGAUCUGGUUUCCUGCCUGGGCUGAGUCUCCUGGAGCUCAUCUCAGCACCACACCUCCCCCAAGGAUGCUGUGCUGUGUGAGAGCAGUCCGUGUGAAGCUGCCCCUAGAGUCCAGCACGGCCACAGAUUCUAGAGACUGUGAAGGGGCCGCUGGCUUUCUUUACACAUUUGCUCUAGCAGCCCUGCUGACCUGAUCUCCUGGGACUGACCAGACCUAGGUCAGAGACUCAGAGCAGUAGGACCCGAGCCUCUCCACGUGACUGCUGCCCUCAGAUGCCAGAUGAGUACAUGGCGGAUAAUGAAGAUUCAGAGACAGUGAGCAAGAAUACUGAGAUGUCAGACAAUUCUCUAAUCAGCUCUUUGGAGAAUGGCAAAAAUGUCAUCAGUGAUGAUGUAAAAGACCAGCAGGAGCAAGUGGGAACGUGGGGCCUGAGUUGAAAAGAUACUUAAUCCGACUGGAUCCACUGGCUUACCUACCCAACAGUGAACCCAGUCGAAAAAGCAGCAUCUGCAACACCAUGGUUCAGGACUCUCAAGAGGAAACUCAGCUUUGAUAAAAAGAAAAUAAUAAACUGUUUGUUUUUUUUUUUUCCCCCUCCAAGGAUGUUGCUUGAAACAACUUUAGAUCUUAGGAAAGAAAAAGCAUUGCUGGCAUGAACUAAACUAGGUUGGAAUAUAUCCAAUUCUCUCAUAUUUAAAAAAAUCUAUUCUCCUGGAAGUAUAGAGUAUUUUGAAACUUGAAGUACUGCUUGUUGGUCCUCCUCCUAUGAAUAUCAGAAAGACAUCAAUGAAAUGGUUUUGAAAACCUAAAUCAGAACACAAAAAUUUAAACCUGAUGUUCCUUGUUUGACAAUGAUGCAAACUGUAGAAGCCAGUUUUUUUAAAAGUAUUAAGGCUUUAUGAAAGUAAACUAGAAAUCUAACUAUAUUUGGUGCAUCCCAGUGGAUGUAGAAGAUGGUUGCUCCUCUUAAAGUUAAAUGUGUCCCAUUACAUUGCUGUUCUAUAAACAGCUCAUCAUACCGUGUCUAGUCUUCUCUACACAGAUAAACAAAUUCAUGUGGCGGACUUCUGCAUAAGAAUCAUAGUUUGCUUUAGAAUAUGAAUCCUUCAGUCAUUUUAACCUUUUUGUUGCCUUUUCAUAUGAUAUGAUAUCCAUUUUAGAAUUUGCCAUGUUGAAACAUGUUUUAUUACUCUGAAGAAAUCAAAACAAACAAAAAUAAAUAUUAACUACAUGAAAUUUUCCCUAAUUUUAUGUUUGACACACAUUGUAUGCCAAGAAAAGUAUAAAAGCAAAUAUGUAUCGUUCUCCUAACAUAUUGUUCUCCUAAGAAAACACCUAACAUAGGGAAAAUACUUGAAACACAUUUGUCGAUUUAAGUUUACUCCAAGAAUUGAAACUGA